AAGGCCACCCUCGGCUCCGAGAGCGCCUGGCCUGAGAGAGUGGGAGGAAAGGCGGAGAAAUCACCCAGAAGGGGCGCCGCGCCCGCCCAGCCCUGCCUGCCUGCCGCCGCGGCUUCUUCCCGUCCGUCCUUCCCUCCCACUCGUGAGGGGAGUGGGGGAUGGGCCUCUCACUGCCACCUCUCCCGAGCGAGGGGGAACUGGCCGCGCUAAAUGGCGACCGCCCCCGAAAGACGCGCGCACAGAGAUACUCUUCUUCCCUCUCUCCCUCCGCCAGCGAGCGAGAGACAGGCUGCGAGGCCACGCCCCCCCUUUUUCCGUCCGCACUCCAACACGCCUGCGUCAACGCUGCUCCUCCUUCGGGUCUGCCUGGGAGAUGUAGUUCUGGCCUGUCUCUGACGCCUCGAGCCACGGUGCAGCUUACACUUCCCAUGAUGCCUGAGGAAGAAGGCGAGGACUAAAACGAAAUGGGAAAGUGAAAAUACAACCAAACCCUGGCAACAUAGCAGUCUUCCCAGCAGAGUGACUGGCUACACUGAUCAAGUUAUGCCCACUGCUGUCCGUCUGAUGCAGAGAGGGUUUGUGAUUUAAUGAAGCCUUGCCAGUACUAUCCUGAGGUUUGGAUUCAUUUCUCUCUGCUCACCCCCAGCAUUAUCUUGUUAGCAACAUCACUGCAGACUGCCGAACAAUUCCCAAUGCUGCAAAAAUGAUCGAAAACACAUCAUCUCCCGGAAGGCUAAUUAUAAGAAACAUCGCAUGUUUUGAUAAUGGCUUCUGCUACUCAGAAAGUAGAAAGUGAAAUCUUGAAUUGGGAUACCAAACAUAUGUAUAAAGGUGCAUUUUUUCCCCAUAAAUAUGCUGAACCUGAACCCCAAGGAUGGUAGAACAUGAAGAGAACUAGCCAUCUUGGGGGUUGAUUUGAUAUCGAGUAGGGUGUACAAAAUAAGUAAAAUAGUGGUUGAAUUGCUUCCUUGGAGGAAAGAGGUACACAUCCCUUGAAAAAGCUCUCAGGAUCCUUUCAAAAAUUGCUCAUAAAUUCUAAUUUUUAACAUAAUUAUAUUAAACGCAAAUUUGGGGACCCUAGUAAUGGGCUUUACAGUUAAUGCACUGUAAUGUUAAUUCGCUAAGCAUUAAAUAAAUCAAGUUUAGCUUUUGUUCUGGUCCUACUUGGUGACUCCAAAUAUGUUGUAUGUUCCUGAGAAACACAACAAUUGAAAAUUUAAACUUAUUAUCUGAUAUAUUGAGAACAGAGUGAUGAGGCACGUUUUGGACCCUCAGGCCAGGGAAUGCCUAUUUCUGUCCUUUUUUUUUUUUUGCUUUGUAAAACAUCGGAAUGUGGGCAAUGUUACCCUUGCACAUUUUUGUUCCUGAAGUAAAAGAAGGACUUUUUCAUCCUCUCUUUCAGCCAAAGCCUCAUUUGAUUUGAUUAUUUGCUUUUGACCGCACAAAGGGCUGGACAUUGUCAGCCAGAAAUGGUAAUCUAAAAUUGUUAUCUAAAAUUAUUAUCUAAAGUUAUUGUUUCCUUUUUUUCUCCUGGUCAGCUGGUCCAAAGUGGAUAAAAUGUUUUGGAUAAAAUAUUAUUCAAUCCAGUUACAGUAGGAAAUAAAUAUUACUGGAUAAUAAAAAUAAAAGCCCUUCCCUUUCUCAUGAUUUGUUAUUGCCCAUUGAAUAAAAGAGAUACUUAUAUUUGGGAAUAAGAGGUAGGUCCUUCUGAACUUCUUAAUACGCAAAUGAAACCCUGGUAGAAGUUACCUGUCUGUCUGGAUCGUUGCUGCAGGAAAUGCCCUUUUAGAGAAUUUUGUUGGUAAUUAAAUAGAAGUUAUUUUUGAUAGUGAUAAUUAAAUUUAGGAAUAUGACUUAAUUUUCUUUGUCAUUUCUAUCAUGAUAUUUUGAACAAUAAUCUUUUUCAACCAUAAAUUGCAUAUAAAAUAUGACAUAUCAGAAAAACGAACUGUGGAAAGAAUGUAUGGAGCCCAUGAAUAAAACGGUCUUUUAAAACAGCUUUAGUCCCUUGUAAGUGGAAUGUAGUCACAAUUAAUUCAUUCAGUGAGUUUCUUUAAAUUCCAGACUUUAUAAAAUUCUUCUAAUUUCAUGAUCUGUCUGGAUGGGAGCAACACAGCAUCAGUUUGUCUGUGUAAGUCACAGAAUAAAUCAUCCUGAAUUUCUACAUAUGCACAGCUCUCUCUCUAUCUCUUAACAGUGGGUUAU